CGGGGAAUCUUGCGCAAUGGGCGAAAGCCUGACGCAGCAACGCCGCGUGCGGGAUGAAGGCCCUCGGGUCGUAAACCGCUUUCAGCAGGGAUGAAAAUGACAGUACCUGCAGAAGAAGCCCCGGCUAAAUACGUGCCAGCAGCCGCGGUAAUACGUAUGGGGCGAGCGUUAUCCGGAUUUAUUGGGGGUAAAGCGCGCGUAGGCGGCUUGUUAAGUCAGGUGCGAAAUCCGGGGGCUCAACCCGCGGCUUGCACCUGAAACUGGCAGGCUUGAGUCUGGUAGAGGAAAGUGGAAUUCCUGGUGUAGCGGUGAAAUGCGCAGAUAUCAGGAGGAACACCAGUGGCGAAGGCGGCUUUCUGGGCCACGACUGACGCUGAGGCGCGAAAGCUAGGGGAGCGAACAG
rnacentral:rRNA from 1 species